rnacentral:tRNA from 1 species
GGUGAGAUGGCCGAGCGGUCUAAGGCGCCAGACUAAGGUGUAAUUCACAUAAUCUGGUCCGAAAGGGCGUGGGUUCGAAUCCCACUCUCAUCA